rnacentral:rRNA from 1 species
AUGCAUCCUGAGUUGAAAGCUUACCUUGACGAGUUCGAGGCGAAGGCCCAGGCACGCCACGACGCCAGUGCCAGGCUGUUCGACGCGUUGUUCUGCAAGCUCAUCACGGGAGCUUCGACCCCUCAGCCGGCGCGCUCCGAGGUCAUGGCCUCCGAUGGCGGCCUCAUCCACAAUACCCUUGUUCCCGGUGUCGUCCCCGACGUCUUCUCCGCCCCCUUUUCCACCAGCAAAGCCCAGGAGGUCCUCGAGCUCAUCACCGAUGCGUCCCCCGCGUGCAUCGCGAGGGCGCCCGUCACCUGUUCGACAGAUUGCUCGAACCAAGUCCUCGCGGGCGUCUUGACUCCACAGCCGGUGCGUCCCAUGGGCACGGCAGCCGAUGGCGGCCUCACCGACGACGCAAGAGUCCCCACGGUCAUCCCCGACGCCUUCUCCUCCACCACCAAUUCCAAGGGGUUCAUGGCGUCCCCCCAUGGUGCAUUUUUGGACUCCAUCAACCCGAUGCCCAUGACCUGUUCGACGAAUGGCUCGACCCAGGUCGACGCCGUCGCCAAUGUCGAUGAGACCCAAGACGCCGCCACCACCACCGUCCACCCCGAGCACGCGGACAUCGUCAACUACACGAAGGUCACGCAGCUCAUACCGGUGCAGGCAACGCUCUCCAUCGACAUCAGCACCUGCUCUGCCGAGGUCAUUUCCUCAACGGCAACCACCACCGACACCAUCCCCAUGGCAACCAAACCAGCUCCAACCAAGUGCUCGGCAGAAGCUCCUGCCCAUGCGAGUGUCUGGGUGCAGCCUCUGAUCGCCACCAUCGAUAGUGUCGACGAGACAUAUGACACCACCACCGAACACCUGCACCCGCCUUCCUUCGAACAUCGACCAUGGCCACCGCCUAUACAAGUGCAGAUCAAUCACGCGGGACACCUCUUCAGGCCAAGUCCGUGGCCGUCGUUCACACCUCUGUCAAACACAACCUACCCGGAAAGACCAUGUUCAGGUAUACAUCGUCAAUCACAUGGAGGUCCCUGCUUCAGUCCUUGGUUAAUUAGGUUGAUGUUCAGAGAUGUUCCCCUGGAGGAGCCUAGCCAUUGUUUUCCAGCUCCAGAGAUGCAGCUUGAGUGUAAAAUUGGGUCAGCUAUGGGCUUGUUCUGUCCCUGA